rnacentral:other from 2 species
UUUACCCUGCUAUGUUCGUGAUUCGUUGCUGUCCUUGAACCGUAAUGAAAACGAACCCCGGAAUGAGUUGCGGCGGUGGCCGACAUGCCUUCACUGGAAGCCGAAAGCCGUCCGGCGAUUUCCACAUGUUGCAAAACAUGUUCAGAGGAUCAUGCAACACACGGCAACGGCGGGGUUUUU